AAUGCAGAACAUUAGUUUAAAAGCAUCUAAAGUAUAUUAAAAUUUGAGGAGGAAAUUUUUAUUACAGAAUGAUGGAUACAUUGCAUAAAUCUUGCAAUGAAUAAAUGUGCUUUGUGCUGCUUAAUAUUCACGAGUGUUCCUUGGAAAGAUUCACUGGGAAGAUAUUUAAACAGGUGUCUGAAUGAAUUGUACACAAAAUUAUAUAACUCUAGUUGCUAUCCUAAUGCUAGGAAAAUAAAUCGACAUUGUUAUUUCUCUAAAUACACUGUUGUUUCAAGCUUUGGACUUAUUUCAAUGUCAUUAACAUUGACAACAGUAAGAAUAUUUUUUUCUUCCUAACUGAAAGUAUU
rnacentral:lncRNA from 1 species